AUCAACCUGCUGUGUUUGUGAUGCUGGUUACCAUAUUUUUGAGCCAACACUCAAUAGAACGGGAUGUCGAUAUCUGAUUGUGGAUUGCGCUCGCCCUCGAGGUUAUAGAGUACAUGAAGCUGUCGUGAGACAACCCACCUGGUUAUCCAGGUUCAAAAAGGGCCCAGUACACGGCACAAGCGGGUUUUAU
rnacentral:other from 1 species